rnacentral:rRNA from 1 species
GCGGCAGGCUUAACACAUGCAAGUCGAACGGUAACAGAAAAAGCUUGCUUUUUGCUGACGAGUGGCGAACGGGUGCGUAACGCGUAUGCAACCUACCUUCUUCUAAGGAAUAGCCCAGAGAAAUUUGGAUUAAUACCUUAUGAUAAUAUUUAUUCGCAUGUUUAAAUAUUUAAAACUCCGGUGGAAGAAGAUGGGCAUGCGUAACAUUAGUUUGUUGGUGAGGUAAUGGCUCACCAAGACUACGAUGUUUAGGGGUUCUGAGAGGAUGAUCCCCCACACUGGUACUGAGACACGGACCAGACUCCUACGGGAGGCAGCAGUGAGGAAUAUUGGUCAAUGGACGAAAGUCUGAACCAGCCAUGCCGCGUGAAGGAUGACGGCCCUACGGGUUGUAAACUUCUUUUGUAUAGGAAGAAACCCCUCUACGUGUAGAGGGCUGACGGUACUAUUCGAAUAAGCACCGGC